GAGACGCUGGCAGCGUGCAUAACACAUGCAAGUCGAACGGUAGUAUUAUCUUCGGAUAAUAUGAGAGUGGCGAACGGGUGAGUAACACGUAAGAAUCUACCUUUAGGACGGGGAUAACUUCUGGAAACGGAUGCUAAUACCCGAUAUGCUGUGGAGUGAAAUGAAUUUCGCCUAAAGAUGAUCUUGCGUCUGAUUAGCUAGAUAGGGUGGUAAUGGCGCCCUAUGGCGACGAUCAGUAGCUGGUCUGAGAGGAUGGACAGCCACAUUGGGACUGAGACACGGCCCAAACUCCUACGGGAGGCAGCAGUGGG
rnacentral:rRNA from 1 species